rnacentral:RNase_P_RNA from 1 species
CCAGAUUGUUGGGCGAUCGCUUGUUUUUAACAAGAGGAAAGUCCGGGCAGCAUAGGAUAGGGCAGUUGCUAACGGCAACCGGGGGUAACCCUAGGGAAAGUGCCACAGAAACGAUACCACCUCGUCCCUAAAGGGCGAGGUAAGGGUGAAACGAGUGGGGUAAGAGCCCACAGCGACGCGCGGUGACGCGCGGAGGAGGUAAACCCUGCCUGCUGCAAGGUGGUUGGUCUCCAUCGUUUAUCGAUGGUAGUGUCCGCUGAAUGACCAGCCAAUUAAACCGCUCGAUCGUAUGGGUAACCGUACGGCUAGAUAGAUGAUCGUCGAUCGACAGAACCCGGCUUACAGACAAUCUGGCUAC